rnacentral:rRNA from 1 species
GACGAACGCUGGCGGCGUGCUUAACACAUGCAAGUCGAACGGAAAGGCCCUGCUUUUGUGGGGUGCUCGAGUGGCGAACGGGUGAGUAACACGUGAGUAACCUGCCCUUGACUUUGGGAUAACUUCAGGAAACUGGGGCUAAUACCGGAUAGGAGCUCCUGCUGCAUGUUGGGGGUUGGAAAGUUUCGGCGGUUGGGGAUGGACUCGCGGCUUAUCAGCUUGUUGGUGGGGUAGUGGCUUACCAAGGCUUUGACGGGUAGCCGGCCUGAGAGGGUGACCGGCCACAUUAGGACUGAGGUACGGAGCAGACUCCUACGGGCGGCAGCAGUGGGGAGUAUUGCACAAUGGGCGGAAGCCUGAUGCAGCAACGCCGCGUGCGGGAUGACGGCCUUCGGGUUGUAAACCGCUUUCGCCUGUGACGAAGCGUGAGUGACGGUAAUGGGUAAAGAAGCACCGGCUAACUACGUG